GACGAACGCUGGCGGCGUGCCUAAUACAUGCAAGUCGAACGAGAGCGACCGGUGCUUGCACUGGUCAAUCUAGUGGCGAACGGGUGAGUAACACGUGGGUAACCUGCCCAUCAGAGGGGGAUAACAUCCGGAAACGGAUGCUAAAACCGCAUAGGUCUUCGAACCGCAUGGUUUGAAGAGGAAAAGAGGCGCAAGCUUCUGCUGAUGGAUGGACCCGCGGUGCAUUAGCUAGUUGGUGAGGUAACGGCUCACCAAGGCCGUGAUGCAUAGCCGACCUGAGAGGGGGAUCGGCCACAUUGGGACUGAGACACGGCCCAAACUCCUACGGGAGGCAGCAGUAGGGAAUCUUCCGCAAUGGACGCAAGUCUGACGGAGCAACGCCGCGUGAGUGAAGAAGGUUUUCGGAUCGUAAAACUCUGUUGUUAGAGAAGAACAAGUGCUAGAGUAACUGUUAGCGCCUUGACGGUAUCUAACCAGAAAGCCACGGCUAACUACGUG
rnacentral:rRNA from 1 species